rnacentral:rRNA from 1 species
AGCAGCCGCGGUAAUUCCAGCUCCAAUAGCGUAUAUUAAAGUUGUUGCAGUUAAAAAGCUCGUAGUUGAAUUUCGGGAUCAGAUUGUUGGUCGUGCCUCGGUACGUACUGGCAUUAUUGGUUCCUACCUUCUGAAGAACCGCGAUGUCAUUAAUUUGGUGUCGUGGGGAAUCAGGACUGUUACUUUGAAAAAAUUAGAGUGUUUAAAGCAGGCGCACGCUUGAAUACAUUAGCAUGGAAUAAUGAAAUAGGACGUUUGAUUCUAUUUUGUUGGUUUCUAGGAUCGACGUAAUGAUUAAUAGGGAUAGUUGGGGGCAUUAGUAUUCAAUUGUCAGAGGUGAAAUUCUUGGAUUUAUUGAAGACUAACUACUGCGAAAGCAUUUGCCAAGGAUGUUUUCAUUAAUCAAGAACGAAAGUUAGGGGAUCGAAGACGAUCAGAUACCGUCGUAGUCUUAACCAUAAACUAUGCCGACUAGGGAUCGGAUGAUGUUAAUUUUUUAAUGACUCAUUCGGCGCCUUACG